AAAUAAAAACUAAAAAAAAAAAAAAAAAAAAGAAUCCACCUUGCAAUGCAGAGGACACCGGUUCCAUCUAUCCCUGGUCCAGGAAGAUCCCACUCGCCACAGGGCAGCUGAAGCCCGUGAGCCACAACAGCUGAGCCCACCACGUCCUAGGGCCUGUGCUCCAUGAUAAAGAGUAGCCACUGUUCACAACUAGAGAAAACCCAUGUGCAGCGAUGAAGACCCAGUGCAGCCAAAAAUAAAUAAUACAUAUUUUUUUUAAGAUUAGCAUUUAAAAAANNNNNNNNNNNNNNNNNNNNNNNNNNNNNNNNNNNNNNNNNNNNNNNNNNNNNNNNNNNNNNNNNNNNNNNNNNNNNNNNNNNNNNNNNNNNNNNNNNNUUUUUUUAAGAUUAGCAUUUAAAAAAAAAAUAAAUUAAAAGAAAAAAUGAAAGCACACUAUCCCCUUCAACCCCAGGCCCUGUGAGCCCAGAGCAAGCACAGUGAGACAUCUCAGAAGAUAACAGUGAGGGAUCAAUGGGACAAGGUCCUUGGGGGAAAGUGUUUCCUUUCCGCUUUUAAAACUGAGAAGAAGGGAGCCUCAAGGGUCUGUCACUGCCAGGGGUCUUCACGAACAAUGCAGUAGGCUGGGAGCUACUGCACUCACUCCUUCAGAGGGCUCAUCCAUUUCAGAGGGCUCACCCAUUCACCGAGCGGAGCCAGCUUGCAGCAGCUGCAGAAACAGACUGGCUCAAUUCAGCCACAGCCCGUUCACUCCAGCCUGAGACCACACGUUCAGGCGGCAGCUCCGGCAAACCUUCACCUCUUAUUGCACUUUGACCUUCGACAGAACUUACAUACUUCUACAUGUACCAACAGGGCACGAUAUCCGGAAGAGAUAUAUUUAUCGUAUGACUCUGUACGGGCUUCCCUGGUGACCCAGGGAGUAAAGCGUCUGCCUGCAAUGCGGGAGACCUGGGUUCGAUCCCUGGGUCCAGAAGAUCCCCUGGAGAAGGAAACGGCAACCCACACUCCGAGUACUCUGGCCUGGAAGAGUCCACAGAUGGAGGAGCCUGGUAGGCUACAGUCUGGGGGACCGCAAAGAGGUGCACACGACGGAGCAACUUCACUUCUGUAUGAAGACCGAACGCUCUUCUGGGACAGGCAUGCACUACAUCUGAAGAACCAUUAAGAGACUUUUUGACUUAAGUCCAUCAAAAGGAAAAUUCAAGAAAUUUGUUUUCUUCAAAGAGCAUAACUGCCUACAGUAUAAUGGAAUAUUCAAGAAUAUACUGUACAGAUUUUAUUUUCUUGGCUCCAAAAUCAUUCUGUGGAUGGUAUCUGCAGCCAUGAAAUUAAAAGAUGCUUGUUCCUUGGAAGGAAAACUACAACAAAGCUAGACAAUGCAUUAAAAAGCAGACAUAAUAUUUUGCUGACAAAGGUCUGUAUAAUCAAAACUAUGGUUUUUCUGGUAGUAACGUAUGGAUGUAAGAGUUGGACCAUAAAGAAGGCAGAGUGCUUAAGAAUUAAUGCAUUCAAUUUGUGAUGCUGGAAAGACUCUUCAGAGUCCCUUGGACAGCAAGGAGAAUGAAUCAGUCAACCUUAAAGGAAGUCAACCCUCAGUACUCACUGGAAGGACUGAUGCUAAAGCUCCAACACUUUGGCCCCCUGAUGUGUAGAGCCGACUCACUGGAAAAGGCCUUGAUGCUGGGAAAGACUGAAGGCAAAAAGGAGAAGGGGGCAGCAGAGGAUGAGAUGGUUAGAUAACAUCAUGGACUCAAUGGACAUGAAUCUGAGCAAGCUCCAGGAGACAGUGAAGGACAGAGGAGCCUGGCAUGCUGCAGUCCACAGGGUUAUAAAGAGUUGGGCGUGACUUAGCAAAUGAACAACAAUAGUGUACACAUACACAUGAAUAUAUUAAAGCUUCAGGGAAAGGGGGAAGAUAGUAAAAUCAUUCAAGCCUCUGUUUUCUCCUGUCAUUCUUUAUCCCAACAGAAUCUGGGGGGAAGUUGCUAACUGGAGGAGGCUGAGGCAGGGCACAAUCAAUUUCACCACCUUUAGCAAGAGGCAGUGGAGGGCUCCUGUUUCACCCAGGCUUUCAAGUCACCUUACUUGACACUGCUCUUUGGGGAGAAGGAUAAGAUGGUGAGCAGAGUGAGGAUGGAUCAAGCAAUUUUUCUUAUGAAGUGGAAGCCAAGAUACUUCAAAGUUCAGAUGAAAGUGAAAGUCACUCAGUCAUGUCCAGCACUUGGCAACCCCACGGACUAUAUAGUCCAUGGAAUUCUCCAGACCAGAACACUGGAGUGGGUAGCUGGUCCCUUCUUCAAGGGAUCUUCCCAACCCAGGGAUUGAACACAGGUCUCCUGAUUGCAGGCAGGUUCUUUACCAGCUGAGCCACAAAGUGAUCCCUAAAGUUCAGAUAGUGAAAGAGAUUUAUCUGAAAUAUUGCAACCGACUGAAAGAGGUUUAUAAGGAUCUAGCUAAGCCUCUCCUCUCUGAACUAUAAGAUGCUAUUACUCAAAGGAAAUUAACCCUG
ensembl:lncRNA